AUGGCGGCGCUUCGAGUCGCGGCGAGGAGGCUCGUCGGCGGCGGCCAGACGCCGGCGGUGGCUGUGGACAAGGCGCAGCGCCGGCUCUUCCCGAGGCUCUCCCAGGUCGGCCGGGCUAGGUCCACCACAUCCUCCGCUGCUGCUGCCGCGGACACCAAUCUGGCGGCGACCAAGUCUGCAAAGCAGGGCUGUGAAGAUCGGGAGAAACUCAUGAGAGAGAUCCAUAACAUGAGAGAGGAGCUGUAUGAAAAGGUUUCGUACGCGGAAAGGACCUACAGUAUCCCUGGCAGGGCAGGCAAACAUAUCAAUCGGCUGCGUGAGGAGCUCGCCGUGCAAGUGGAUCCUAGACCCGGGGACAGCACAUGGCGCAAGAUGCGAGUGCUAGAUCCACUUGAUCGUUGCAUGGAAUUUGCGACUUUGACCUUCAGCUUGUAUGUGCUCAUGUGCAUGGCCGCUGGUAGGAUCGUUGAAUUGGAUCCAGAUGAAAAGCAAUGGAUCCAGAAGAAAAGAGGGGAGGCGCGCAAGCAAAGUGAAACAAAAUGA
rnacentral:rRNA from 1 species